rnacentral:tRNA from 2 species
GCCCGCAUCGUCUAGCGGCCUAGGACAUCACCCUUUCAAGGUGGAGAUCACGGGUUCGAAUCCCGUUGCGGGUA